AAGACUAUAGACCUGCGGAGUACCUGCGGAAGGUUCAUUAACGUAUCUAUGAUGGGGUGCGGAGCGCCCUGCUCCGGUCGAACGGCCGUGCAGCGGGUGCGCCGCCCCCGUCCCACCUCACAAACCCACUGUGAACAUUCACCGGUGGAGGGGGCUCGGUCUGCGCCGUGUCCCCGAUGCCGAAUACCCAAACUCCAGUUGCAAAGAACGUCGUGCGGACUCGGUGCCGCCUAAAACAUG
rnacentral:misc_RNA from 1 species